rnacentral:tRNA from 1 species
UCCCCGGUGGUCCAUAGUUAGGACUCUGAGCUGUCACUGCCUAGGGCCCAGGUUCAAUCCCUGGUUGGGGAA